rnacentral:rRNA from 1 species
UACGGGGGGGGCAAGCGUUGUUCGGAAUUACUGGGCGUAAAGCGCACGUAGGCGGCUUUGUAAGUCAGGGGUGAAAUCCCGGGGCUCAACCUCGGAACUGCCUUUGAUACUGCAAAUCUCGAGUCCGGAAGAGGUGAGUGGAAUUCCUAGUGUAGAGGUGAAAUUCGUAGAUAUUAGGAAGAACACCAGUGGCGAAGGCGGCUCACUGGUCCGGUACUGACGCUGAGGUGCGAAAGCGUGGGGAGCAAACAGG